UGAACUUCAGUACCUAUUCAAAGCUAAGGCAUUAAGUUCGCAUCUUUCUCUCUUUGACAUCAUGUGGUUAAGGCUAUUCUUCGUGCUUCUAUUGUUUGCUGUGAGUCUGACGUGGGCUGAUAUGAUAGCAAAACCCAUGUGUCGUGAUGGAGUUGUAUCCGUGAGAAGCGUCCGCUGUCCACCAACAACACCUUUCCCCGAUGAUUAUUAUGAUGAAUAUCCUGACAACAGCAGAAAAACAACGGAAUAAGUUGUAAAAGCGUCAUCAUAAAUCGUGAAAAAGUAAACAGAUAACAAUAAAAUAAUGAUACGUAUUUUUUUCUUUUCUUUCACAAAGAACAACAAACAUACAAUAAGCUUGAAUUUUGCGUUUCGUCAAUUUAAAGUACAAUACAUAGACGUGACGUCACAGACUACCUCUUUAUUGUUAUAUCUUGUAAAUAUUAAUUUAAAAUAUGUGUUUAUUAUUUUUUGCCAUUUAAAAAUGCUGUCUAAUUAGAAUCACAUUUUCUUUACCCUGUCGUCACGAAUAUUUGUCAAUAAAUUGUCAUGUUGCGGUGCAAGUGCAUUUUUAUUUUUAUCCGAACCUACUCAAAAACCUGCUCUAAUUCUACUAAGAAAAACCUUAUAUCAAACUUAUGUGCUUUCCUGUAGCCAUUCCGCUGUAUGUAUUUUAUGUAUUAAAGUAGAUUUUUACGGCAGAAAAACGUGUGGAUAAAUGGUCUUACUUACUAACUUCCACAACAUAACCGUUAAAACAAGAGUAGCCCAGAAACGAUUGCGUUUCCUUCUGACACCUACGGAACUCUAAAGUUACUGCGUUUCAGGCAUCGUUAUUAUCAUCAUAUUACAUACUACAUCAUACUGAAUUCGGAUAUAUAAAGAGCUGUCACCUAACUGAACUUCAGUAUUCAAAGCUAAGGCAUUAAGUACGCAUCUUUCUUUUUUUGACAUAAGGAUGUGGUCAAGGUUAUUCUUCGUAUUUCUGUUGUUUGCUGUGAGUCUGACGUGGGCUGAUACGGUAAUACUACCGUACGUGUGUCCUGGUGGAAAACCACCCCUUAGUAACGGCCGCUGUCCAAUGCCUGACCCCGACGAAUAUUAUGAUGAUAUAUGAUACAUAUCCUGACAACAGCAGUAAAGCAAGUAAAUAAGUUGAAAAACAUUUUAGCAAAUAUUUGAUGAAUUUUUUUAAAGUAAAAAAUACGUGCCCAAUAUUUUUGACCAAUCUUGAAUGCAGAUUAAUAAAAAUCACUGUC